UAGACUCCUCCUAUACACGUGUUGGUCAUCGUGAGACGGAUGUGCAUUGCCCUCGGUGGCCACGCGUCUAUCAUCGCCGGUCCUUCUUCUUCGAUUUCUUCGUUGGUGUUUUUUUCCGUUUGCCUCUUUCCCUCCAUUCUUUGCUUUUUCUUUCCGUUCGCUUCUCUCUCUGCAUCCUCAGUUUCUGCAAAUUGUCGAACGUAGCUUUUUCUCUUCCACGCCGGUGUUGUUCUUGCUGUCCACACCUAGCAAGUUUCUCCGUCUGAUUAUUCAGCUUCGUUAUUUUUCCCGGAAAAUUGCUCGAUUCGUGAAUGGUUUAGGGGCUACAGAUUUCUGCCUUUUUCAAUUCGAUUGAAAUCCAUUUUUUCUUUGCGUAGUCUAACGUGUUCUGGAAACGCUUCUGCUCCAAUUUUGGGCUUUCGUCUGCAGGAAAUGCUUCUUCUCCAAUUUUGGGGCUUUCGUCUGCAGUUUUGCAAGCCCAUUGUGUUGAAGGAUUUGGAGGCUCCUGCUUGGGAACUCAGAAACCUUUUUUAAUCUUUCCAGCAAUGGAGCUUGCAUUGUCGCUUGAGAAAUCGACAAAUGAAAAGCUCUGCUCAACUUGCAGUGUAAGAUGAUAAGGUUUAGGUGAUUAUAUUUUGUACCUGUAACAUCGUUUGGUUCGUGUUAUAAAUUAACAAUCUUAUUAUGCUAUGUUCAUCUUCGAAUUUACGACUAACAGGUUGUUGAGAAGAACAAAGAUGUGUAGUUCGUAGGUGGAAGCCAUCAAGAAAAUAUCUGAAUAUGUUGCUCAACUAUAGAUAAUUGGCGAAGAACACGAUUAGUGACAUGGAGCACACUCAGUGGAGCCAUUUACCACUACUGGUGUCCCUACUGAUUUAUUACCAUAUACCAAUCCAAGUCCAAACUGAUCACAAAGGGUCGGACCACAAAAAUUUAUCUUCAGUGCUUCAUAAAGCUUUAGAGGGUGCAAUCAUAUUUGAAACUUUCCCCAAGACUAUUAUGGAUGUUUUUGCAUUGGUGUUGGAAUCUAUGAGCAGUAAGUUUUUCCAUUGGAUUUUAAUAUCUAAGCGUCUAUUCUUUCGGCCAUUUAUGUUUAUGUGAAGGAAAAAUUAGUUAUGUAGAAAAUGAAUGAAUAGAAAUAACAUAGUAGAGAAUUUAAAGUGGAACAAAUAAGAUUAUACUCUUGCUAUGUCAAUAUAUAUGUUUGUGUAUAAACGUGUUCAUAUUUUUGCGUAUGUCAAUGUAUAACAUUGCUGCAAUUAGUUUGGUUACUUUACAGGAAAGCUUAUAUGAAUUUUUAAUCGAUGAAUUCCAGUUUCCAACACUUCAUUUUCUUCAAUUACAGGUAUUUGAAUUUUACAUGUCUAAAUUUUGUUCUCCAAUAAUUUUUAAGAUCAGUAGAUCUGUUGAAUUUGAUAAUAUUAUUCAACAAUGUGGUCAGCUGUUCAAACUGCAUUACAAAAUUUAAUAUGUAGAAUUAAGCAUUGUAAGUUUGAUCUUUUUCUUCUGAGUGAUGUAUUUCAGAUAUUGCCUUCUCCAACUAAACUCUUGAAAAGCUUUUCUAUAAAAUUUAUAGUUGUUUAAAGUGUUGUAUCCAUCUUUGCAAUUAGUCUCAUAAAUUAUACCAAAUUUGUUAAUUCUUUAGCAAAAUAAGCAAAUCAUUUUAAUUUGUUUAGGUCAGAUCAUAUGAAUUUUGAAGUUACUAUUUUGAUUGCGUAAUUAUCCAUGUUUCUAACAUUGCAUUCCUUUUUUUAUAAUAAAUUUGUUUCGUUUUUAGUUCUAAAAUGUAGUUUACAAAGGAAAAUCCAUGCGUUUCUAAUCUACACAAGUCAAAAGUUAAAGAUCAUUUUGACAAAAAAAAAAAAAAAAAGGUUAAAGAUCAAGAAGAAUUGAUGAAAGAAGCAGUAAGCAUUUUACAAGCGUCUCUCAGUUUUUAUUCAACAAUCCAGGCGUCCCAUGUUUCUCCUCCCUGGUUUGGUAAAGCAGAAACUUAUAGUUUGUCUUACAUUUAACUGAGAGACGUUAUGUGAAUAUAUCACAAUAUCAGUAAUUUUUUUGUAUGUUUUGUGAAUUUGUUGAUAUUCUAGCAGGAAUUGCAAUGGUGGAAGGGAACAAACAUAAAGGCAGUGUUAUUUCAGCCAAAAGCCUUAUUCUCACAACAUUGAGUACGAUUGCUUAGACUUUCAAUUCAUUGUACCUAAAUUGAAACAAUUCUUUACUUUACAUAUGUCAAAUAUAAUCUUUUAUACAAUUUCUAAUCCCGCAGCAACGCGCGGGUGGUAAUUUCUAGU